rnacentral:rRNA from 1 species
CCUACGGGAGGCAGCAGUGGGGAAUAUUGGGCAAUGGGCGCAAGCCUGACCCAGCAACGCCGCGUGAAGGAAGAAGGCUGUCGGGUUGUAAACUUCUUUUGUCAGGGAAGAGUAGAAGACGGUACCUGACGAAUAAGCCACGGCUAACUACGUGCCAGCAGCCGCGGUAAUACGUAGGUGGCAAGCGUUGGCCGGAUUUACUGGGUGUAAAGGGCGUGUAGCCGGGUUGACAAGUCAGAUGUGAAAUCCUGCGGCUUAACCGCAGAACUGCAGUUGAAACUGUUGAUCUUGAGUACUGGAGAGGCAGAUGGAAUUCCUAGUGUAGCGGUGAAAUGCGUAGAUAUUAGGAGGAACACCAGUGGCGAAGGCGGUCUGCUGGACAGCAACUGACGGUGAGGCGCGAAAGCGUGGGGAGCAAACAGGAUUAGAUACCCCAGUAGUC